AGCAGUAGCCACGGUAAUGCGUAGGGUGCGAGCGUUAAUCGGAAUUACUGGGCGUAAAGCGCACGUAGGCGGAUCGAUCAGUCAGGGGUGAAAUCCCAGAGCUCAACUCUGGAACUGCCUUUGAUACUGUCGAUCUGGAGUAUGGAAGAGGUGAGUGGAAUUCCGAGUGUAGAGGUGAAAUUCGUAGAUAUUCGGAGGAACACCAGUGGCGAAGGCGGCUCACUGGUCCAUUACUGACGCUGAGGUGCGAAAGCGUGGGGAGCAAACAGGAUUAGAGACCCGCGUAGUCCCUGUCUCUUAUAC
rnacentral:rRNA from 1 species